AAACUGGGCCCGCGAGAGAAGGCGCGGCGGAAACCUUCUCCAAACCCCAUCCUGGAAGCCUUUUACAGGAAGCGGAGGAAACGUCCCCAAAAGGGGGAAGUCAGCAGCUUGGCCAAGCAGUGCGACCUCCACCCAAGGAAGGUAGAGAGGUGGUUUCGAUGCCGCCUGAAUCAGGACCGGCCCAGCUUGACGAAGAAAUUCUCUGAAGCCAGCUGGAGAGGCACCUACCAUUUUAUUUCCUUCU